CGGGGGCCCGCACAAGCGGUGGAGCAUGUGGUUUAAUUCGACGCAACGCGAAGAACCUUACCAGGGCUUUGACAUCCUCUGACAGCCAUUGAAAGGUGGUUUUCUGGCUUCGGUCAGACAGAGAGACAGGUGGUGCAUGGUUGUCGUCAGCUCGUGUCGUGAGAUGUUGGGUUAAGUCCCGCAACGAGCGCAACCCCUACGUUUAGUUGCUAACGUGUAACGAUGAGCACUCUAGACGAACUGCCGUUGACAAAACGGAGGAAGGUGGGAUGACGUCAAAUCAUCAUGCCCCUUAUGUCCUGGGCUACACACGUGCUACAAUGGCCGGUACAAAGGGACGCAAAGCCGCGAGGUGGAGCAAAUCCGAUAAAAGCCGGUCUCAGUUCGGAUUGCAGGCUGCAAUUCGCCUGCAUGAAGUCGGAAUCGCUAGUAAUCGCAGGUCAGCAUACUGCGGUGAAUACGUUCCCGGGCCUU
rnacentral:rRNA from 1 species